rnacentral:rRNA from 1 species
UAGGGAAUCUUCCACAAUGGGCGAAAGCCUGAUGGAGCAACGCCGCGUGUGUGAUGAAGGGUUUCGGCUCGUAAAACUCUGUUGUUAGAGAAGAACACGAGUGAGAGUAACUGUUCAUUCGAUGACGGUAUCUAACCAGCAAGUCACGGCUAACUACGUGUCAG